UCCGUAGGGUGCAAGCGUUGUCCGGAAUUAUUGGGCGUAAAGGGCUCGUAGGCGGUCUGUCGCGUCUGCUGUGAAAACUCAGGGCUUAACCCUGAGCUUGCAGUGGGUACGGGCAGACUAGAGUGCGGUAGGGGAGACUGGAAUUCCUGGUGUAGCGGUGAAAUGCGCAGAUAUCAGGAGGAACACCGGUGGCGAAGGCGGGUCUCUGGGCCGUAACUGACGCUGAGGAGCGAAAGCAUGGGGAGCGAACAGG
rnacentral:rRNA from 1 species